UAUUAUUCUUGUUAUGUGAGGCUUCUAUGCUGGAGAUCUGCUGCUCUGAAACGGCCAAAGACACCGAUGGGUCAACAGGAACCAUCGACAUAAGGUCGUUUGUGUUUCAUGUAGCUUUAAAAAUCCUUUGCAGUAGUGUUAAAGCUUAAACGAUUGAAGGAUUGUA
rnacentral:sRNA from 2 species